UACGGGGGGAGCAAGCGUUGUUCGGAUUUACUGGGCGUAAAGGGCGCGUAGGCGGCCACCGCAAGUCAGUUGUGAAAUCUCCGAGCUUAACUCGGAAAGGUCAACUGAUACUGCGGGGCUAGAGUGCGGAAGGGGCAACUGGAAUUCUCGGUGUAGCGGUGAAAUGCGUAGAUAUCAAGAGGAACACCUGAGGUGAAGACGGGUUGCUGGGCUGACACUGACGCUGAGGCGCGAAAGCUAGGGUAGCAAACGGG
rnacentral:rRNA from 1 species